rnacentral:rRNA from 1 species
UACGUAGGGGGCAAGCGUUGUCCGGAAUCAUUGGGCGUAAAGAGCGCGUAGGCGGUCCGGUAAGUCAGCUGUGAAAGUCAAGGGCUCAACCCUUGAAAGCCGGUUGAUACUGUCGGGCUAGAGUCCGGAAGAGGCGAGUGGAAUUCCCGGUGUAGCGGUGAAAUGCGCAGAUAUCGGGAGGAACACCAAUGGCGAAGGCAGCUCGCUGGGACGGUACUGACGCUGAGGCGCGAAAGCGUGGGGAGCAAACAGGG